rnacentral:rRNA from 1 species
AUGGAUAGUGAUAACAAGACUUUGGUUGGCACUAUCAAUUCAGACCACCCGGGAGACGUGGAUUCUGGGAAAAGCAAGUCAGUGGAGUUGAUCUUCCUCGGAAUAGUCCAGUCAAUUGGCAAUCGUAGAAACAGAAGGUUGUUCCCACUUCAUCAUGGGAGGCAGGGUACUGCGACAGCGACAACAUGCCAAGGAAUCAAGAUGGCUCAUCUCCUUGGCGAGCUUUUGAACCGUGACGCCGCUCCUGCGAUCCUCUAUGUUGAUAACAAGUUUGCAACCUCACUGUGCAAAAAUCCAGUACUUCACGAUUGCAGCAAGUACAUCGAUCUCUGCUACCAGUUCAUAUAG